rnacentral:rRNA from 1 species
AAUAUUGCACAAUGGAGGGAACUCUGAUGCAGCAACGCCGCGUGAGUGAAGAAGGUUUNCGGAUCNUNAAACUCUGUCAUUGGGGNAGAAUAAAUGACGGUACCCAAUGAGGAAGCCCCGGCUAACUACGUGCCAGCAGCCGCGGUAAUACGUAGGGGGCGAGCGUUGUCCGGAAUUAUUGGGCGUAAAGGGUUCGCAGGCGGUCUAUUAAGUCAGAUGUGAAAGAUCACGGCUCAACCGUGGUAAGCAUUUGAAACUGGUGGACUUGAGUUAUGGAGAGGAAAGUGGAAUUCCUAGUGUAGCGGUGAAAUGCGUAGAUAUUAGGAGGAACACCAGUGGCGAAGGCGGCUUACUGGACCGUAACUGACGCUGAGGCACGAAAGCGUGGGUAGCAAAC